rnacentral:lncRNA from 1 species
UCCAAAGAUAUUGGUCACGUCAUUAUUCUUAUUUUCUUUUACUUCCCAUGUCUCAUGUCUCAUCUCGGGAUAUCUCUCGGAAUCGGAUUCGGAUCUGUGCCGUGGUUUAGGUUUUGCUUCGUGGAGUCCGUGGUUCUCGGAUAUUCCAUUUUCACUUUAUCGUGAAAAGUUUCAUUAUAGUUUGUUCGUGCGAUGUAAAGUCUCAUUGAGCAUAACAGGAACUGCAUUGAUAUUCUCGCACUGUCAACUCAAUGGCUCGUCGGAGACAGGGGAGUCCCUGCACCAAUGGUAACGUUGACUCUGAUGAUUCGAAAGGAAGCCCAAAGAGUAAUGAAAAUGCAUGCCAGCACUGUGGUAAGAAACCCGUUCUUACGAAGGGAAUAAAUUAUCUUAUGCUUCUAAGGGAACGGUUUGCCAGAGAAAAUCUGCUGGGGAGCCAGUGUAAACAGUGCAAAUCAGAAGGUAGCUCACCAAAUCCAGAGGCUGGGUUGUACAUGUGCUUGAAAUGUGGACAAUUUGCCUGUGAUGAUAGUGGAAAGAAUCAUGCUCCACAACACUACGCUGCAGCGAGAAGCGAGCCACAUUUUAUUGGGCUGCAUAUGAAUGAUUGGACUUUUCGCUGUUUCAGAUGUAAUGAAGAACUAGACCAACACGCUGAUAGAAGUUACCUGAACUUGUCGUUACUCUCAAGUCUAGAAUAUCUAAGCUAUCCGUAAAGCAAGGUAAACCCCUCCCCAUAAAUAAUUUUUUGUUGGCCUUUUAACCCUUACCAUUCAUCAAUUAAAUUCACCUAACCUCUCCCCCAGAUCGUAUUUAAAAUGGCAGUUUGGAGGGCUGACAACAUCAAAAACACAAGAGAGGUUAGGCGCAAUUUAGUGCAAAACAGUUCGAUGACGCAGUUGUUGACAGCUGUGGACGUAGUUCUCCAAACAUCCGAUAGAUCCCUGCACAAGACAGAGGCGGCGAACUACGUCCGAUACAUGAGCUUACGCUAGGUGAACAGGUUUGUCGGAUCAGGUCCGACACAUGAUCGGAACGGGAAAAUAAAAAUGUUGGACCACAUCUGACACAUGAGUGGUAAGGUUUAAUAUCUGAGGGGUCCGCAAUCCACCC